rnacentral:rRNA from 1 species
GACGAACGCUGGCGGCGUGCUUAACACAUGCAAGUCGAACGAUGAAGCCUAGCUUGCUAGGUGGAUUAGUGGCGAACGGGUGAGUAAUACGUGAGUAACCUACCUUUAACUCUGGGAUAAGCCCGGGAAACCGGGUCUAAUACCGCAUACGACCAAUCCCCGCAAGGGGUGUUGGUGGAAAGCGUUAUGUAGUGGUUAUAGAUGGGCUCACGGCCUAUCAGCUUGUUGGUGAGGUAACGGCUCACCAAGGCGACGACGGGUAGCCGGCCUGAGAGGGUGACCGGCCACACUGGGACUGAGACACGGCCCAGACUCCUACGGGAGGCAGCAGUGGGGAAUAUUGCACAAUGGGCGGAAGCCUGAUGCAGCAACGCCGCGUGGGGGAUGACGGCCUUCGGGUUGUAAACCUCUUUUAGCAGGGAAGAAGAGUGAGUGACGGUACCUGGAGAGGAAGCACCGGCUAACUACGUG